rnacentral:lncRNA from 1 species
CACUAUCCGGUGGGCUGUGUAACUAAAGAGUUGGCCUGUGUCUUUUCUCUUUAUUAGGAGAGACGGUAGUUUACCGAACUUUCAGAUGACUGGUCUGUAUUGUUGGAGGAAGGGCAGGGGCAUCUUUGUCAGGGCAGCAUCUCUGCGUUCUGCACUCCUUCCUUCACUGACAGCUGACAUUUGCAGUAACUGCACCAAAGGCUGGGGUCCAGUCACAGUACAGGCUGCUCCUGAGGGCUCGCCUUCCCAUGGGAGGGACCUCUGCCAGGCUGAUCAAUAAGGUACAGUGAAGUGGAGGAGAAGACAGAAGACAGAGGCACUGACAGACAGAACUGGCACCGAGCAGAGAGUGCACAGUCUCACCUCUAGCAAAGCUGCCCAAAGGCUGGACACUGGCUGGAGACAAAGUUACACACCAGCCUACAGCCCGUGUUGUCAUGAUGUCAUGGUGUCAUGGGACAAAUAAAUGGGAGUGCUUUUCUAAGUGGUGAUGCUAUAGGCUGUGACACAGAAGAUGCGGACCCUGCAACACCAGAUUCUGUAGCAGAAGUUAGUAAAUAAGGGCAGCAGGGUAAGAUGUGUAUUAGAAAGACCACUCUAGUAACGGGGUGCCAGUCAGAAUCAUUUCUCUUCCUCUACAUGCAAGCCCCUGGCCUAAUUCCUGGAGUCCAUGAACAUGGCACAUAUGUGGCAGAGGGGACUACAUUCCUAUGAAUAUCAUGGUCUUGAGAUGCUGAAGGCCUCUGCCAUCUGGGACACUCUACUGUAAUUACCAUGAGUCUUAUAAUCGAUGAAAGCAAAAGUGUCUGAAGGCUGUCCUACGGCCAGCUCUGCAGCAGCAGGGAAGGACUGUGUAGGGGACGGAUGCAAGGCCAGGCAAGGAUGUGCACCUUCACACAGGGAUUAUAGAAAGGAGCACCACUCUGGAGGCCUGUGAUUUUAACACACUCAGGCCUGCUCUGGACAGCUGGGCUCCAGAGUCUGAGGACAACACAAGGGUUCUGUUUGAGGCCAUGUGCUUUGUAAAUCUGUUAGACGACAACAAUGGAAAAUCAACCAAAAUGGUUGGGAAGGGAGACCGGAGUAAGGUAAUCCGGUGCACAGGAGUCCCAUGAUCAGGGCAUCACAGUGAGGGUGGAUUGGGAGAAAAUGUAAAAGUCCUGUGAAUGUGUGUGUGUGUGUGUGUGUACACGUGUAUGCUAGCUACUUCCAGGGCACUUAAGAGCAUCCAUGCACCUAGUUUCUAGCAAACGUUGAGCCUUUGUUGAGGGCAGUAGCUUGACACAUGUAGGACUGUAGAACAUGGGUCAUGGCCAUGCAAAACAUGAGUUUACUACUGUGGUUGACACAUGAAGUGCAGGUGUACAGUUAACUGUAAGUGAAGAAUCAAUAGCAAUGGCAGGAGCUGUCGCUCAGUGGUAGAUCGCUUGUCCUCAUGCGAUCCCAGCACCACUAAACAAAACACAGGAAAAUGGCAAAAAUGUUUUAAUAUAAAAAUUUCAAAGUUUGCAUGGUAUAUACGGAAAACUUAUAUUUACUCUUCAUCCAGAAUUCACAUUAACAGGGUACUUUGACUAUUUACUUGGGAAAGUGGCUGGACAGCAUGUAACCGAGAGGCAGAUCUAGAUGUGGGAUCUGGUGAUUGCCGGUGAACUACCGUGGCUGGAACCGUCAGAGCGCCGCCCUGAGCUGCCUGAACAGACCUGGUGUUUAUGCCUAAUUCUGCCACAAUGCCAUCCUGGCUGCAGACAUGCUUUCUCUCUGGCCUCUCUCCUCCCAUAAGCCUGUGCCAGGGCUGACUGCUAAGGGUGCUGCCAUUUACGUUGGCCUGGAUCUAGGUAUCCCAGAGAGGACUUGGAAGGGUUAACAUCAGAGUGUUCCUUCUGCAUAUCCCCUCAAAUGGUCACCUCCUUUUGGAGACACAGCAUCACUGGGUCAAAGUUGCAUUGGCUCCCUGAGUAGGUCUUAUGCUCUUUGUCUUCUGACCAUUGCUUGGAAUCGUUCACCUCAUCUGUCCAGGUUGUGUUUGGCCUGUGGAGCCCCAUGGUGUGGCCGAGAACCGUGCUGUCUGAGGUGGGGUUAGCUCCAUGCAUCUUACACUCAGUAGCAAUUGGGUUGCUAAGCCAUAAAACGAUCGGCUAUUUUCCUGACUGUACUCUGUUUUCUCUCAUCAAAACCUCUUCAUCUUUUCACCAUGCUGAAGUCUAAUUGGUUUUCUUUCUUAUCUUUUAUUUACGGGAUUAUUACCAUUCAAGACAGUGGCUUGCGUUUAUCUUUAUUGACUUCCAUUGCAUGUAAUUGGGCCAUCCAUCCAGUUUGCCUAUAUCAUUUUGGAUGCUUCGAAUUGUCAAGUGCCACAGAUCUAAACGAUGUAGAAGACUCCCACUUUAGAAACUCCAAGAGUUCUUAUGAUUAUGUUGGAAACAAUGGCAAAAUUCAUUUCUUUUGUAUUUUAAAACAUAUUACCUAAAAUUGCUUGCUGAAUAGAUUGGAAAACAACUCUAAAAGUAGCGUUUCAGUUAAAAUACCCAUCAGGACAAUUUUCCAAGUGGAUUUCCAGAAUCACGUGGAUGAAUGAAACAAAACCAAUAAAAGGGUCUUUUUCUCUACCUCUCCCCACCCCCCACCCCAACCAGCUCCUUAUCAGCCCUGGGCAUCUUUCAGCUGCAGACCCAGGCCUGGCAGCCACACCUGCCCUGGUGGUCACAGGCAUAGGGAUUCUUGAUGACACUUUUGGCUUAAAAGCUAAACCUCAAUCUGAAGAGUAAAAAGCCAGGCGGCCGUUCCUCACAGCGGGAGUUUCUAGCCAGCAUCUAAGCAGACACACAAGUUAUUCUAAGUAGAAAUGUGUCCAUAAAUGUCACAAACUGUCUCCAUUUCCCUUUAUCAUCCUCUAACAACCUCAUCAAGACUGCAUGAUUAUUUCACGAGGCUGAGGAUACUGGCACUCACUGCCACAGCCCAGCAGGAGUCCUGCUUGACCUCUGCCUUACACGGACCUAAGCACAAAUGGGCCACAUUCAAGGGGAGGAAUGCCAAGGGACACACUGGCGGAAGACAGUUGUGACUUCUGCCUGGAAAUAACAUUGUUGGGCUGUCAGUCUGCAUGAAGCCAUUGUUUUUCAAAGUCAUGUUGUUGGUGCCAGUUGCCAAUGGUGCUGGACACCUUCCUGCAGAUGAAACUUUGGAGCAGGCUUCUUCGGCUUUCCUUGUUUCUAUAUGGGGUCCUGCAAGGAGGAGUAGGAUGCUCACCCACCAUCAAGUUAGGGAUGGCGAUGUCAAAGGUGAACCCUGAUGUGGUCAUGUCUGCAGGUGCAACUAGCUUUUUUUCUAAUGUCUGGGCAUGGGUCUACUUCAGGGAGUGGGCCAAUGACACUAGCCCUCUGAGAAUGCCCCUGAGGAGCUGGGAUAAAUUCCAAUGGCCAAGUGGCCAUUACCAUUACCAUCCCAAGCAUCUAUAUAUAAACCAUAUUACAUCAUACUAGAACCAACAUUGAGCUCAGGCUGUCCUCUGCAGGGACCACAUAGGUAACAGACCUAAGGAAGGGAUUUUACUGCUUCUCUUAAACAAAGGCCCCGAAGCCACAGAGAAAGCACUUCGCUCCACAAAUAGCCACACAAGGUCCCCAAAUAUGUUUCCUUUUUCUUGGUAAUUAGCUAAAGAUGAAAUAAUGCUUGAACACUUCAUAAUCUUAAAUUCAUAAUAUUUUACUUAAUUAAAAUAGGUAAUUUAGAAAAAUAAUUGGUAAUUGCUGAAACCUCUAAUGCUGAUGAGAACUGAGCUGGAAGUGUUCUUUCUUCACAAAUUGGUACUUAAAAUAUAAAGUUCCACACACAGCUGGAAAGUGCCAUCGUAAUUUGGCAUUUAUGUUCAGUAACUAUCAUUAAACCAAAUAAACUGAAAUUAAAGAAGAAAGACGGUGGGCUUCAGGACACAUUCAGGGCAGAUGCCAAGGGCUUCAAAGUAUAAAUGUGGCUUUCUAAGCAUUUAUUAGGAGCAUUGGAGAACAGGCCUAGGAAUUUCUUACACAUUGCUUUUAUUUUAUACUCUGCUGUGAAAAUACAGCUUUGGUAAUAUCUGAGUUCAGGUGGAGAACAAGCUCAGUGGAAAUUCUCCUUCACCACAGAACAGUGCGAGUGGGCAGGCUUGGAGUGUAGAUGUGCGUUUUCAAAUGAGCCUUUUCCUUCCGACAUCCACAAACGCUGGUGCUGGCUUGAAUAGAGGCAGAGGAAUCACGGCUGGAAAAGAAAACCAGCCUUUUUGCACAUUUUAUUUUUUUCUUGAGGGAGGAAAAAAAACCCUCCUGUGACAUUCCAUACCACAGCAGAGACUCGUGGUAAAUUCACAGGAAAACCUGAGAACAACACACCCUCUGGAGAGCUUAUUUGUUUAGUGGGAGGCUGUCUUUUUCAGUCCUGGAACAAAAGUCUGUUGACUAGGAUGGCAGAGGGAGGGAGGAGGGCAGGCCACUCUAUGCGACGGAAUUUGUUAUCGCUUUUCUACCUGGCAACACAUUAAAAAAACGUAAGAUUUCAAGCAAUAGUCUAAAGAGCAAGGAAUU